rnacentral:rRNA from 1 species
CCGCUUCGGUGGAUGAGUAAAGUGGCGCACGGGUGAGUAACGCGUGGAUAAUCUACCCUUUAGUCUGGAAUAACUUAUCGAAAGGUGAACUAAUACCGGAUAAUAUCCCGAUUUCUUCGGCGAUCGGGAUCAAAGAAGGCCUCUGCUUGCAAGCUUUCACUGAAGGAUGAGUCCGCGUACCAUUAGCUAGUUGGCAGGGUAAUGGCCUACCAAGGUUAUGAUGGUUAGCUGGUCUGAGAGGAUGAUCAGCCACACUGGAACUGAAACACGGUCCAGACUCCUACGGGAGGCAGCAGUGAGGAAUAUUGCGCAAUGGGGGCAACCCUGACGCAGCAACGCCGCGUGAGUGAGGAAGGUUUUCGGAUUGUAAAGCUCUGUCGAGCGGAAAGAAGUGCAUGGUGGUUAAUAUCCAUCAUGCUUGACGGUACCGCUAAAGGAAGCACCGGCUAACUCC